AUGUCUGAAAUUGGGGAAAUUAUUAUCGAUAUGGACAAUAAUAAUAACAUGGAAAAUUCUGAUGCUCCUGCUGAAGAACCCCCUAUCUUACAUACAAAAAAAUUCCGAAUCAGUAGUGGUAAUAUUAUUGGAAAAGGGGUUAUUCAAGAUUUCUUUACUUGUGCCGGUGCUUUGCCUUCUAUGGGUAGUUCUAUUCUCCAUAGAACUAGUAGUCUUGCGGACGCUAUCUCCAUGCUUAUAGUUGAACUUGAAAGGCAAUUUAUGCACAUGCAUCCUUGCAUACAAAGGAUUUUUCUAGAAUUUUCUAAUAUUGAGCAUUCUUCUUUAAAGCGCGCCGCUACUAUCUUUUUGGCACAUGAAUUCAGAUUUAUAAUAAAAGAGGCCAAAGAAAUCUUUGCGCACUGUAGGGUGGACGCUGGUCGUCCUCCCAUAGAGGCAAUCCACUUUGAUCAAGAGGAAAUAAUGUGUUUUCAAUCUUUAGACUAUGUUGCUUUUAAUGAAAACCUUAGAAAAAAGGUUCCUACCAAUGUUCUAGUUGAUAGAAUUUCUGAACUUAAUAAUGAUUUUGCUAUCCGAAAUAAUGAGCUAGGAUAUUCUCUCGAAUAUAGGCUCACGAAGUUCUGCCAAAAGAAUGCUUAUAAUGAUGAAUUGGUUGUGCCAUAUGAAGGGCCGAAGGAGGAACCUAUACCUCCCAAAAUUGAUCUUGGGGACUUCUGUCCCAUUAAAUUUAGACCUUUUGAUUACUUUUGCUUGCCUCAAAGAAAACUACCUGCUGAACGUAGAGAAUAUGAAAUGAGUUUUCGUGAUCUAUCCUAUUAUUAUGGCAAUACCUAG
rnacentral:rRNA from 1 species